UGAGAGCUAGUUUCUGAUGAUUGUGGAUGUU
rnacentral:piRNA from 1 species